CAACAACAACUACAUCAACAACCCUAUCAGCAACAGCAUCUACUUUACCUACAGCAGCAGCAGCUGCAACUACAGCAACCUCAGCACCAGCAGUCACUGCAGCAACAGAAACACCAUCCUCAACAACAAACAUCCUCACCACAGCAGCAUCCUCAUGAGCAAGAAAAAGGACAGUCCAUGCAGCAAACUAAUUCAUCACUGGUUCAGGAUCGAGUUUCAUCGCAACCUGAUACUGAUACCAUUGAAUCUUCUGCUUCUCCUCGCCCAGUUUACCCAAAUUGAUGACAUAGCAUUAUGGACAUGCUUAUGCUUAUCAGACAGGAUUAGCUUUGUACAUGCUCAUUGAUUUGCUAAAAGGGAAACCUCUCUGAUAAAA
rnacentral:misc_RNA from 1 species